UCUUUCGGGAUGCUGACGAGUGGCGAACGGGUGAGUAAUACAUCGGAACGUGCCUAGUAGUGGGGGAUAACUACUCGAAAGAGUGGCUAAUACCGCAUGAGAUCUAUGGAUGAAAGCAGGGGACCUUCGGGCCUUGUGCUACUAGAGCGGCCGAUGGCAGAUUAGGUAGUUGGUGGGAUAAAAGCUUACCAAGCCUACGAUCUGUAGCUGGUCUGAGAGGACGAUCAGCCACACUGGGACUGAGACACGGCCCAGACUCC
rnacentral:rRNA from 2 species